rnacentral:sRNA from 1 species
UGAUGUCAGGGUCAAAAGGUCUAAAUCCACAUGAGCUUGCUCAUAGGUGGAUUUAGACCUUGGGACCCACCCCGAUAUGAGCAUAAAAGUGGGAUGAUAAUCCCACGAUAUGCGAAUACUUGGGUGCUAUGUGCCAGUGGCACAUGUUUAGCACCGACCGAAGCGGAGCGUAGAAAGGAUUGUGGGAGUGCAACGCACGGAACAAUCCGUAGGCAUCA